GAUGAACGCUGGCGGCGUGCCUAAUACAUGCAAGUCGAGCGAACAGACGAGGAGCUUGCUCCUCUGACGUUAGCGGCGGACGGGUGAGUCACACGUGGAUAACCUACCUAUAAGACUGGGAUAACUUCGGGAAACCGGAGCUACUACCGGAUAAUAUAUUGAACCGCAUGGUUCAAUAGUGAAAGACGGUUUUGCUGUCACUUAUAGAUGGAUCCGCGCCGCAUUAGCUAGUUGGUAAGGUAACGGCUUACCAAGGCAACGAUGCGUAGCCGACCUGAGAGGGUGAUCGGCCACACUGGAACUGAGACACGGUCCAGACUCCUACGGGAGGCAGCAGUAGGGAAUCUUCCGCAAUGGGCGAAAGCCUGACGGAGCAACGCCGCGUGAGUGAUGAAGGUCUUCGGAUCGUAAAACUCUGUUAUUAGGGAAGAACAAAUGUGUAAGUAACUAUGCACGUCUUGACGGUACCUAAUCAGAAAGCCACGGCUAACUACGUG
rnacentral:rRNA from 1 species